rnacentral:rRNA from 1 species
AUGUCCGAGGCCAGUGCCUGCUUGUCUCGCGCUGCGUCCUGACGGAUGCUUUUAUUAGACCAAGCCGCUGAGGACUUGUGAGCUUCGGCUCUCAUGUUCGACUCGUGUGAUGGUGACUCUGGAUAACCAAACCUGACAAGCGCACGUACCCCUCUUCUGAGCGGGACGGCGCUGCCACUUUCGAGUGUCUGCCUUAUCAGCUAUCAACCGUUCGUUAUGCGCGACCGAUGGCUUUGACGGGUAACGGGGAAUCAGGGUUCGAUUCCGGAGAGGCAGCCUGAGAGACGGCUACCACGUCCAAGGACGGCAGCAGGCACGCAAAUUACCCAAUCCCAGCAAAUGGGGGAGGUAGUGACGAAAUCUAACGAUGCGGGCGCCCUUUCUGGGGCCCCGCAAUCGGAAUGGGCACUUUCUAAACAACCUGUUGAGAACCUACUGAAGGGCAAGUCUGGUGCCAGCAGCCGCGGUAAUUCCAGCUUCAGCAGCAUCUAUUAAAGUUGCUGCGGUUAAAAGGCUCGCAGUUGAAUGUCUGUAUCGAGCGCAGGUCAGGUGGACGUUGGGGCGUGGAAGUACGGGCAGUUGGAGUUGUGUCUGCGCUUGUUGGCUCUGCGGAGGGCCUUCGUGCUCAACGUGGUUGUCUCUCGCGUUUGGUGCUCUCCUUCGGCUUUUCCACACACCCCCGUCCGUGACAAGCCUCCUCGCUCGGGUACAUAACAGGAAUUGGUCAAACGGAGUGUAGCGUCCGCGUUCUCGUGCGUGCGCGCGCGCGCUCGUGUGUGUUCGUUUUGAGGAAUCUCUCUUCGACGCAUGCGUGUGUGUGUGUGUGUGUGUGUUUGCGUGGCGUUGCGUUAAGCUCCAUCGAUUUCACAGUCACCUUGAGUAAAUCAGAGUGCUCAAAGCAGUCGUAGGGGCCUUGCGCCCUGUGAACAGUCUUGACGGACUGACUUGGUUUUGCAUGGCAUGUCGGAAGACGACGUCGUGUGCUGGCUCAGAGGAUAAAUCAGUGGUACAAGCCAGCCUCGACGUAAUGAUUAAAAGGGACGGUCGAGGGCAUUGGUAUUGCGAGGCGAGAGGUGAAAUUCUGUGACCCCCGCAAGACCUCCUGAAGCGAAAGCGUCUGCCAAGGACGUUUUCAUUAAUCAUGAACGAAAGUUAGAGGAUCGAAGGCGAUCAGAUACCGCCCUAGUUCUAACCCUAAACGAUGCCAACCAUCAAUCCGCGCGUAGCACCCUUCUUAACGGGCUCGGCGGGCAGCUCCCCACUCACGGGAAACCAGAGCCUCUGGGUUCCGGGGGGAGUCUGGUUGCAAAGCUGAAACUUAAAGGAAUUGACGGAAAGGCACCACCAGGCGUGGAGCCUGCGGCUUAAUUUGACUCAACACGGGCCAUCUCACCAGGCCAGCACUCUUGUACGAUUGACAGAUUGAGAGCUCUUUCUCGAUUCAGUGGAUGGUGGUGCAUGGCCGUUCUUAGUUGGUGGAGUGAUCUGUCUGGUUAAUUCCGAUAACGAACGAGACUCUCCCCUGCUAACUAGUCGGUUGGAUCUUGAUUCAGCGGGUUGCGUGCCGAGUAACUCUCGCUGCGUUGUGUGUGCUCGCGCGCGCGUGUGCGCGUACGUCGGGGGAAACCUUGGCGUGCGUGUGUGUGUGUGUGUGCUGUGCGCGCUCGUGGUGUUGGAUGCCUCGGAUCACACUGCACCCCAAGUCCGCCGCUCAUGCUAUAACUCUUCUUAGAGGGAUUCACGGCACUGAAGCCGUAAGAGACUGAGAGCAAUAACAGGUCUGUGAUGCCCUUAGAUGCUCUGGGCCGCACGCGCGCUACAAUGCCGGGCACAGCAGGUGUUUGUCCUGCUCCGACAGGAGCGGGUAACCCUCUGAAAGCCAGUGUUUCUUGCAAGUGCUUCCUCCACCUAGCGUGGAGUUGCACAGAGGCGUGCUUGGGCCUGGGACUUGCAAUUCUUUCCCACCAACGAGGAAUGCCUAGUAGCGGCGGGUCACUGAGCCCGCCGUGACUCA